rnacentral:rRNA from 1 species
UACGUAGGGGGCAAGCGUUGUCCGGAUUUAUUGGGCGUAAAGAGCGUGUAGGCGGCCAAGCAGGUCCGCUGUGAAAACUCGAGGCUCAACCCCGAGCCUGCAUUCGAUACGGGCAGACUAGAGUUCGGUAGGGGAGACUGGAAUUCCUGGUGUAGCGGUGAAAUGCGCAGAUAUCAGGAGGAACACCGGUGGCGAAGGCGGGUCUCUGGGCCGAUACUGACGCUGAGGAGCGAAAGCGUGGGGAGCGAACAGG